rnacentral:rRNA from 1 species
GACGAACGCUGGCGGCGUGCUUAACACAUGCAAGUCGAACGGUGAAGUAGAGCUUGCUCUAUGGAUCAGUGGCGAACGGGUGAGUAACACGUGGGCAACCUGCCCCAGACUCUGGGAUAACUCCUCGAAAGAGGGGAUAAUACCGGAUAUUUGCAUUGCAAGACAUCUUGUGAUGCAGAAAGAAUGUCGGUCUGGGCUGGGCCCGCGGCCUAUCAGCUUGUUGGUGAGGUAACGGAUCACCAAGGCGACGACGGGUAGCCGGCCUGAGAGGGCGACCGGCCCCACUGGGACUGAGACACGGCCCAGACUCCUACGGGAGGCAGCAGUGGGGAAUAUUGGGCAAUGGGCGCAAGCCUGACCCAGCAACGCCGCGUGAGGGAUGAAGGUCCUCGGAUUGUAAACCUCUUUCAGCAGGGACGAAGCGAAAGUGACGGUACCUGCAGAAGAAGCACCGGCUAACUACGUGCCAGCAGCCGCAGUAA